GACGAACGCUGGCGGCGUGCUUAACACAUGCAAGUCGAACGGUAAGGCCCUUCGGGGUACACGAGUGGCGAACGGGUGAGUAACACGUGGGUGAUCUGCCCUGCGCUUCGGGAUAAGCCUGGGAAACUGGGUCUAAUACCGGAUAGGACCACUGCCUGCAUGGGUGGGGGUGGAAAGCUUUUGCGGUGUGGGAUGGGCCCGCGGCCUAUCAGAUUUGUGGUGGGGUGGAGGCUUACCAAGGCGACGACGGGUAGCCGGCCUCGAGAGGGUGACCGGCCAAACUGGGACUGAGAUACGGCCCAGACUCCUACGGGAGGCAGCAGUGGGGAAUAUUGCACAAUGGGCGCAAGCCUGAUGCAGCGACGCCGCGUGAGGGAUGACGGCCUUCGGGUUGUAAACCUCUUUCAGCACCGACGAAGCGCAAGUGACGGUAGGUGCAGAAGAAGGACCGGCCAACUACGUGCCAGCCGCCGCGGUAA
rnacentral:rRNA from 1 species